AGCAGGGCAGGAGCCUGCAGCCGUUCCCCAGCCACGCUGGGCAGCCGCGCCGUCUCCAAAUAGAGCGGCACCGAGCUGCUGUCCCGGCGCUAUUUCAGGUGCCGGCCCCAUGGCUGAGACACCCGUCUGCGUUGUUAGGCCAGCUGAGCACAGCAGCAGCCUCCCUGAGGAUACCAUGGGGGAAGGGGCAGGGUUCCCAGCACUAACCCACCAGGGGCGCCAGUCUCUUCCGCUGCCAGGCUCAGGGCACAGUCCUCUUCAUC
rnacentral:lncRNA from 1 species